rnacentral:rRNA from 1 species
AACGCGAAGAACCUUACCUGGGCUCGAAGUGUAGAUGACCAUCGGCGAAAGUCGACUUCCGCAAGGACAUCUGCAUAGGUGCUGCAUGGCUGUCGUCAGCUCGUGUCGUGAGAUGUUGGGUUAAGUCCCGCAACGAGCGCAACCCUUGUUUCCUGUUGCCAUCGGGUAAUGCCGAGCACUCUAUGGGGACUGCACGGGUCAACCGUGAGGAAGGCGGGGAUGACGUCAAGUCAUCAUGGCCCUUAUGUCCAGGGCUACAAGCGUGCUACAAUGGAUUACACAAAGGGUCGCAAACUCGCGAGAGCCAGCUAAUCCCAAAAAGUAAUCCUCAGUUCGGAUCGGAGUCUGCAACUCGACUCCGUGAAGUUGGAAUCGCUAGUAAUCGCGGAUCAGCCACGCCGCGGUGAAUACGUUCCCGGGCCUUGUACACACCGACUGUAC